rnacentral:misc_RNA from 1 species
CAGGCCUCCCUCUGCUUGGUUCCAGUCGUGUGCAUGAGUGAGGGGCGAUGCUUGAUGGCUUUGAUGCCAUCGGUGGGAAUGUGUUUAAGCAUCGGCCUUCCCUCAUGCACACGAUGGUCUACAGUCUUGGGUAUGAGUCAGUGACGAUGCUUGUUUGUUUUGAUGCUUGCGUUGGAACUUGCUUGAGCAACUGACCUGACGAAGUACCCAUGAAUGUUCAACCUAGUAGGGACGUGUCCCUGCGACCAACGACAUUUUUUGUCGGGAUCGUGGCAAGUCUGCGAUCCAGGGGGUGAUGUUGAGAGCCGGAAGGCAAGGGGGUGCAAACACCAGUCGGCCUUUGUCCCGAUUGCUGAGUGUUAUGUGCUUGACGUCCAAGGCUUGAUGCUGAUCCUCCAAGUGGGGCUUGUCCCUGCACCAAUGGCUACUGCCAGGAUUAUAGCGUUUGCUAUGAUCGAAAAUCUGAGGGGGUGAUGUUGAGAGCUGGAAGGCAAGGGGGUGCAAACACCAGUCGGCCUUUGUCCCGAUUGCUGAGUGUUAUGUGCUUGACGUCCAAGGCUUGAUGCUGAUCCUCCAAGUGGGGCUCUUUUGUUCCUGCGGUAACGACUUUGUUGGGAUCAUUGUGAUCAAGUUUGGUUGGUUUCGUAUUGUGGUGGGUUUUUUCGAAGCUUCUAUCGUUGUUUUACGCAUCGUGCGGUGCAUCUUGGGGGCUGUUUUGGCUUUUGGUUGCUUGCUUGGGCUUUAUGCUAGGCGGGUGGCUAAU